AGAGAGAGAGAGACAGAAAGUAGAGAGAGAGAAAGUAGAGAGAGCGAGAGAGAUGUGCUGAGGCAAUGGGCCGCACAUAGCGGGAGGAGAAAGCCUGAUCCCAGCAAGGGGCAGGGGGGCGGAGGCGGAGGUGGAGGGAGUGUGCACUGCCCGACCUCCACCUCUCAGUGCGGCUGCCACUGAGCGAGCAGGGGAGGCUGACAUUUCUCUCUCCCCUCUGCACUUCCUCUCAGCAGGUGCUCCUUGGAUCGACGGGGGCGAAAUGCAAAGCCCGAGACUGCAGCGCAGACUUUAUGGGAACUCCCUGUGUUGUGUUCCCAUUUUAUGCUCGGCAAGGGCACAAUCUUUAGCCCAAAGAUGACUAGUGCCAUCACACUCAUCUCUCUCUCUUUGUUCUGUUUGAUUUACUCACAUAUCUCUUUGUCACUGUGCCUACUCUCAAGAUGUUACCAAGAUGUUCCACCUGCUGUGUCAUGACAAUGUUAAUGCUUUUGUGAAAGCUUCUGUGCAGAAGAUUCUGUGUGUGCAGUCUUAGUUUAUCGCCAGAGUUAAAAUAGUUUCAAAUAAUUUCAAAUUCAACAUAUAUUAAUAGUGAAAUGGGCAUGUCGGAGCACAUGAAUUACGCCACUAAGUCCAGAAACUGAAGACACAGAUUCUCAAUUAAGAAAUGAAAGGAAGAAAAAAAAAGAAAAAAAAUACAUCGACUUGAAAGGCAAACACAUUCAGUCAUCAUCAUGUUCCUUCGCAGACAAAUGCAAAUCAGCCCAGCAGCAGCAGCAUCUCAUCUGUGGCAGGCAGUCCUUUCAUGGUUUGUGGCUGCAACAUGGACCUCAGCUCCCUUUUUUAAAGAGGCAGCGAGGCGAGGCGAGGGGCGAGGCGUGAGAUGGGCAUCGAGGGCGUGGAGGGGAGGCCAGAGCAGCAGAGCAGCUUCUCCCCGCACUCCACUCAGCGUAGCCUCCUCCACCGCCGCCACCGCUGCUGCUGCCGUUUCAUCUGAUUGAUCAAGCACGUUGCUCCACUUCACAUGCGACCGGGGGGGAGUGCUCCAACUGCAGGGAUCUCACGCACACACCUGCUGACCUUCACUACCUCUGGAUCUAUCAUCUAUCAUACGCCACUGAGGGGGCUCAUCCUGUCAGCGCUGUGACGAGACCAGAGACGGGCGAGAGCAAACGUUUGGCCUACUUGUAAUCACAGAGAGAGAGAGAAAAAAAAAACAAACAGGGAAGGAGCUCAGCUUCCCUUCCCCACUUUUGGGGGCUCUUAGGCAGCAGGUACUAGAUAGAUGCGAUGUUUGCCAGCGAGUAAUUGCACGAUCAAAACUGGAGAGGAAGCGGAGUGCGAGACGCUGAACACACUCUCUGAUGUCGAAUGUACUUAUCUAGCCGACGCUACGCCGCCACUCUGCCUGGUGGUGCCAGGAGGUUCUUGUUUGCCUAACCGUUCUCUAUUAGCGUGACAGUGGCUGCCGGGGGGGAGAUGGCUUUCACCUUGAGGAUGCAGUAGGGGGGUUUUGCAUCAGAAGCGAAAGAUAAACUGUAGUGUGUUUCAAUGUGCCUUAACAUGUGUGUGUAUGGAGGUGGGUGAGUUGGGGGGGGGGGGGGGGGGGGGGGGGGCAUGAGAGGGAUGCUGAGGCCUCUUCGCCUCGGCUCCCUGGAUGCCCCUCGUCCCCGUUAAUCUUGCAAAAAUCAUUGUCCUCAGCUUGAAGGGUUUUGUUUGCUUACCUAUAGUGUGUAAUAAUAGCCAGAGACUCCUGUGAAUAUUAUUUACUCAUAUGCUCAUUAUUCAUCCCUGCUUUCACUGUGGGGAGCAAAUUUACAAG
ensembl:lncRNA